AAGGAUGACUGAGAGUUCAGGGAACCCAGAGGGAAAAUCCAAGAACCCCAAAGAAUCACAGAUUAAGGAACUAUGUCUAUGGGGUAGAACCAGGCUCUAACUGAGGAACUCUUCCUGGUCCCAAGAAGCCGAGGAUGGCAGUGGAUUGUGUACAGGUCACUGGAUUAACAAGUAUAUUUAAGGGGCUGCACCUGGACACUACAUUCAGUGGGCCUCAUCUGCAUCUGGAACUGGAUUUAGAGAAUGAGGUCCAGAACUCUGAGCCUAAAACAGAUACUGUCAUUGACUGAAAUUUUACAGACCUGAAAGGAAUCGUCAGAUAACCAGGAAGCAAAGAAAUACAGCCAAGCCUCCUGGUGGAUGAGAAGUCACAUGAAGUAAAACUGAGACACCCAUGCAGAGAGCAAGCACCAAGACUUCAGAUAUGAGAGUGGGGACAUCUUGAACCUUCUAUCACUGCCCAUGUACCAGAUGACUGAGGCAAGUUACAUGAAUGAAUAAGCUUCAGUGGGACAAGCAGAAGCAAUGAGUAAAUUGAUAACAUUUUGAGAAUAACAUUGGUGUUUUAAACCAGUAAGUCUGGGAGAGUUUUCUAUGUAGUGAUAGAUGACUAGAAUAUAUUUGAACCUGAUAAAUUGAGAAUAAGUAUUGUAAUCUAAAGGCAGCCAUUAAAGGACACUAAGAAUAUGUAACUACCAACCAGGGUGGAUGAGCUCAGAGCACCAAACAUGUA
rnacentral:lncRNA from 1 species